UGGGGAAUUUUGGACAAUGGGCGAAAGCCUGAUCCAGCAAUGCCGCGUGUGUGAAGAAGGCCUUCGGGUUGUAAAGCACUUUUGUCCGGAAAGAAAUCCUUGGCUCUAAUACAGUCGGGGGAUGACGGUACCGGAAGAAUAAGCACCGGCUAACUACGUGCCAGCAGCCGCGGUAAUACGUAGGGUGCAAGCGUUAAUCGGAAUUACUGGGCGUAAAGCGUGCGCAGGCGGUUUGCUAAGACCGAUGUGAAAUCCCCGGGCUCAACCUGGGAACUGCAUUGGUGACUGGCAGGCUAGAGUAUGGCAGAGGGGGGUAGAAUUCCACGUGUAGCAGUGAAAUGCGUAGAGAUGUGGAGGAAUACCGAUGGCGAAGGCAGCCCCCUGGGCCAAUACUGACGCUCAUGCACGAAAGCGUGGGGAGCAAACAGGAUUAGAUACCCUGGUAGUCCACGCCCUAAACGAUGUCAACUAGUUGUUGGGGAUUCAUUUCCUUAGUAACGUAGCUAACGCGUGAAGUUGACCGCCUGGGGAGUACGGUCGCAAGAUUAAAACUCAAAGGAAUUGACGGGGUCAUAGCUG
rnacentral:rRNA from 1 species